rnacentral:tRNA from 1 species
GCCUGGGUGGCUCAGUCAGUUGAGCAUCUGACUCUUGAUUUUGGCUCAGGUUAUGAUCUCAGUGUUAUGGGUUUGAGCCCCAUGUCAGGCU